AUUGACAGUAUCUGUUCAUGAUACAAACUACACGUGAUAAAAAUGAAAGAUUCGCUGAAAAUUCAUUCAGAUAAUAAUAGAGAAAGGAAAGAAAGCUGCUUAAUAUUUUUUCAUCGAUUUCUUACGAUUAAUCGCAAUUCCCAUCGAUUCUUUUUACAUUUCGAGAAACAAAAUCGCUCGUUAAUCCAAAUCCAAAGUCCAACUGUUCGUUUCAGAUAUCUCGUUGGCUUUAUUUACCAAAGUUUCUUUUUUUCAAAAAACCGCAGAAAUUCUUUUUCUGCCAAUCUCAAAGCGAUAUUACAAACGUAAAAAAAAAAAAGAAAAAAAAAAAAGUCAUCAGCCAAGAUUAUUCCUAACACCACGCGUUUUUUCGCUCCAGAUAAAACACGCAUCCACGUUCAUCCACGAACGGCAUGGAAGAAAAAGAUAGCCGGCCGAUCGGCGUAAUCGAUCUCGACAGAUGCAUCAGCCUGUUGCUACUAGUAAGGGAAAAAGAAGAGAGAGAGAGAGAGAGAGAAAGACAGAAAAGAAAAAUACUACGUGCACCGACAAGAAGAGGAAGAGGAAAAAGAAGUGUAGCACGUUGGAUCAAUGAGAGGCGCGUUGCACGCGCUUUCGCGAUAAUAAAUAUCUCGCCAUUUAUCACGUCAACUGAUUACAUGCGGCAAAACGUUACCGAUUACCAUUUUCCGGACAGAUCGAUUUACGAUUUCAGUAAUUUUCCCGGACGAUCGUUCGUCGCUCACAACUCAACGGUUAAAAACGUUCUAUAAAAAUCACCCCAUUCAAAUGAUUCGAUUGCGUUUAAAAACCGAGGCAAAUGCGUUUGUCCCGGCAAUUAACGAGGAGGAAACUUUCUUAUUAACUUUCUUCGAGGAGGAGCAACCAUGGUGAAAUUUUUACGCGGCCGUGGCGGAGAAUAGAGAAAGAAAUUGUCGCGUGUC